rnacentral:rRNA from 1 species
UACGGAGGAUCCAAGCGUUAUCCGGAUUUAUUGGGUUUAAAGGGUGCGUAGGCGGCUUAUUAAGUCAGGGGUGAAAGACGGUGGCUCAACCAUCGCAGUGCCCUUGAUACUGAUGAGCUUGAAUACACUAGAGGUAGGCGGAAUGUGACAAGUAGCGGUGAAAUGCAUAGAUAUGUCACAGAACACCGAUCGCGAAGGCAGCUUACUAUGGUGUGAUUGACGCUGAGGCACGAAAGCGUGGGGAUCAAACAGG